rnacentral:rRNA from 1 species
GAUGAACGCUGGCGGCGUGCCUAAUACAUGCAAGUCGAGCGAACGGACGAGAAGCUUGCUUCUCUGACGUUAGCGGCGGACGGGUGAGUAACACGUGGAUAACCUACCUAUAAGACUGGGAUAACUUCGGGAAACCGGAGCUAAUACCGGAUGAUAUUUUGAUCCGCAUGGUUCAAAAGUGAAAGACGGUCUUGCUGUCACUUAUCGAUGGAUCCGCGCUGCAUUAGCUAGUUGGUAAGGUAACGGCUUACCAAGGCAAGGAUGCAUAGCCGACCGCAUAGGGUGAUCGGCCACACUGGAACUUAGACACGGUCCAGACGCCUGCGGGAGGCAGCAGUAGGGAAUCUGCCGCAAUGGUCGAAAGCCUGACGGAGCAACGCCGCGUGAGUGAUGAAGGUCUUCGGAUCGUAAAACUCUGUUAUUAGGGAAGAACAGAUGUGUAAGUAACUGUGCACAUCUUGACGGUACCUAAUCAGAAAGCCACGGCUAACUACGUG